UACGGAGGGGGCAAGCGUUGUUCGGAAUUACUGGGCGUAAAGGGCGCGUAGGCGGCCUGCUAAGUCGAACGUGAAAUCCCUGGGCUCAACCCAGGAACUGCGUCCGAUACUGGUUGGCUUGAAUCCGGGAGAGGGAUGCGGAAUUCCAGGUGUAGCGGUGAAAUGCGUAGGGAUGUGGAGGAACACCGAUGGCGAAGGCAGCCUUCUGGGCCAACACUGACGCUCAUGCACGAAAGCGUGGGGAGCAAACAGG
rnacentral:rRNA from 1 species